UCUCUGAUAGUAUAUCGGUUAGUACACGCGCCUGUCAUGUGGGUUUCGCGCGAAAGCUGGGUUCGACUCCCAGUCAGAGAG